rnacentral:piRNA from 1 species
UGUGUCUUUAUAGCAGCAUGAUUUAUGGUC